rnacentral:rRNA from 1 species
CCUCGGGCGGCAGCAGUGAGGAAUAUUGCACAAUGGGGGGAACCCUGAUGCAGCAACGCCGCGUGGAGGAUGACGCAUUUCGGUGUGUAAACUCCUUUUAUAUGUCAAGAAAAUGACGGUAGCAUAUGAAUAAGCACCGCUAACUCCGUGCCAGCAGCCGCGGUAAUACGGAGGGUGCAAGCGUUACGCGGAAUCACUGGGCGUAAAGGACGCGUAGGCGGGUUGGAAAGUCAGGUGUGAAAUCCUACAGCUUAACUGUAGAACUGCACUUGAAACUUCUAAUCUAGAGUAUGGGAGGGGGAGAUGGAAUUAGUGGUGUAGGGGUAAAAUCCGUAGAUAUCACUAGGAAUACCUAAAGCGAAGGCGAUCUCCUGGAACAUUACUGACUCUAAGGCGUGAAAGCGUGGGGAGCAAACAGGAUUAGAUACCCCCGUAGUC